AUGAGCUCUUUCACUGGGAGCGGGGAAGGGAUACAGCACAUCACUGGAGAGUGGUGUGGCCCUCAGGGCUCUGUGUCACCAGGAGGGGCUGGAGGAGCUGCAGCUUCAUCUCCAUGGCAGGGAAGUGGUUCCAGUGCCCUGGAAGAGCCUGGGAAGGGGUUAAACCACACUGCAGACAGAGGAAACCUUUGUCCCUGCAAUGUCCCACCAGCCCAGAGCGAGGGAAAAGCCUUUCCUCAGCCCUGGGCUGAGAUGAAUUCUGAUCCCAAAUGCCACAGGAUGAGCAGAGAGGAAUGGCCCUGUCCUGCUGCCCCAGGGGUCUUGGCCCCCGUCAGCCACCAGACAGAGUCCACCAUCCCUGUUCCAGCCCUGGCCCAUUUCAUUCCAUCCCUGCUCCAAGCCUGAUUCAUCCCCAGGGGAGCACCUGCCCGAGCCGCCUUCCUCUGCUGGCAAUUCCCACCCCUUCUCUCCUUCCCAACUCUCUGCUUGGCCCCUGUGGAAGAGGAGCAUUGACAGGAGAGUCCUGCCAGGCCAUGGAAGUGCUCCCCACGAGUUUCAAAGCCACAACAGCUCAGUUCAGCCAGUUUUAACUCUGGCCUGACGCAGCCCCACGUCUCCAGGCACAAAUCAGACUGUUCUGGUGACAGCAGAGACACUUGGGGGCCAAUUUGUGGCAGUGAAAGGAUCAGCCCCAGGAAAUAUUCUCCAAUUCCAGAGCCAUUGGUUCAUCCAGCCAGCUGUGGAUUCACUGGGGUCUGAUAUGGGAUGUUCCCAGAGAAGAAAAAUUUGUAGUGGGGCAAAUGAGAGGGUGAAUUAGGGCCAGCAUCCUCAUGCUGGGAUUUAGGAAUUCCACCUGGACUGCUUGGCUGUGUGGCCAGCCCAUGCCAGCAGGAUUCUGGAGGCUCCCAGCCUGCAGACAAGCAGCAGCAAGGCUGGCAGCAGACACAAUUUGUGGCUGGCUAUUUGCUGUUGUCACUCCAACCAUUCCACCUGACGAGGCAAUAAAGAUGAAAGCCAAUAAUAAGCA
ensembl:lncRNA